GGGGGCGUACUGGUUUCGACGGGGGAAUGUAUUGGCAAGAGUAGCCAGGCGGGGUUCCAUCAGCCCGUAAAACGGUGGACCUAAAUUAAACGCAGAAGAUAAUUACGCUUUAGCUGCUUAGUUCAGCUAACCUCCUACCUACUGCUCCCGCGGUGUAGGAUAGGGGGCCAACUAGCGGGAUACUUCAAGCCCACCGUCCGCUAAGCUUGAGGGAAAUUCAGCGGAUUAGUCGAUGCUGGAUCCUGUCCUUGGGAGCCUUCAUCGGCGAACGGAAAACAAGGACUAUCCUGGUAGAAGCUUUUGUGGGUACUCCUUCGGACGGGGGUUCGACUCCCCCCGCCUCCACCA
rnacentral:tmRNA from 1 species